UACGUAGGGUGCAAGCGUUAAUCGGAAUUACUGGGCGUAAAGCGUGCGCAGGCGGUUGUGCAAGACCGAUGUGAAAUCCCCGGGCUCAACCUGGGAAUGGCAUUGGUGACUGUACGGCUAGAGUGUGUCAGAGGGGGGUAGAAUUCCACGUGUAGCAGUGAAAUGCGUAGAGAUGUGGAGGAAUACCGAUGGCGAAGGCAAUCCCCUGGACCUGUACUGACGCUCAUGCACGAAAGCGUGGGAGC
rnacentral:rRNA from 1 species